UACGAAGGGGGCGAGCGUUAUUCGGAAUCACUGGGCGUAAAGCGUGCGUAGGCGGCUCUGAAAGUUAGGAGUGAAAGCCCCAGGCUCAACUUGGGAAUUGCUCUUAAUACUCCAGGGCUCGAAUUCGGGAGAGGAUAGCGGAAUUGUCAGUGUAGCAGUGAAAUGCGUAGAUAUUGACAGGAACACCAGUGGCGUAAGCGGCUAUCUGGACCGACAUUGACGCUGAGGCACGAAAGCGUGGGGAUCAAACAGG
rnacentral:rRNA from 1 species